rnacentral:rRNA from 1 species
UACAGAGGCCUCAAGCGUUAGGCGGAAUUACUGGGCGUAAAGCGUGCGUAGACGGUUAUGUAAGUCAGAUGUGAAAGCCCCGGGCUCAACCUGGGAAUUGCAUUUGAGACUGUGUAGCUAGGGUGCGGAAGAGGGAAGCGGAAUUUCCGGUGUAGCGGUGAAAUGCGUAGAUAUCGGAAGGAACACCAGUGGCGAAAGCGGCUUCCUGGUCCAGCACCGACGUUCAGGCACGAAAGCGUGGGGAGCAAACAGG